rnacentral:rRNA from 1 species
CGCUAGCUACAGGCUUAACACAUGCAAGUCGAGGGGCAGCAUGGUCUUAGCUUGCUAAGGCCGAUGGCGACCGGCGCACGGGUGAGUAACACGUAUCCAACCUGCCGUCUACUCUUGGACAGCCUUCUGAAAGGAAGAUUAAUACAAGAUGGCAUCAUGAGUCCACAUGUUCACAUGAUUAAAGGUAUUCCGGUAGACGAUGGGGAUGCGUUCCAUUAGAUAGUAGGCGGGGUAACGGCCCACCUAGUCUUCGAUGGAUAGGGGUUCUGAGAGGAAGGUCCCCCACAUUGGAACUGAGACACGGUCCAAACUCCUACGGGAGGCAGCAGUGAGGAAUAUUGGUCAAUGGGCGAGAGCCUGAACCAGCCAAGUAGCGUGAAGGAUGACUGCCCUAUGGGUUGUAAACUUCUUUUAUAAAGGAAUAAAGUCGGGUAUGGAUACCCGUUUGCAUGUACUUUAUGAAUAAGGAUCGGCUAACUCCGUGUCAGCAGCCGCGGUAAUACGGAGGAUCCGAGCGUUAUCCGGAUUUAUUGGGUUUAAAGGGAGCGUAGAUGGAUGUUUAAGUCAGUUGUGAAAGUUUGCGGCUCAACCGUAAAAUUGCAGUUGAUACUGGAUAUCUUGAGUGCAGUUGAGGCAGGCGGAAUUCGUGGUGUAGCGGUGAAAUGCUUAGAUAUCACGAAGAACUCCGAUUGCGAAGGCAGCCUGCUAAGCUGCAACUGACAUUGAGGCUCGAAAGUGUGGGUAUCAAACAGGAUUAGAUACCCUGGUAGUCCACACGGUAAACGAUGAAUACUCGCUGUUUGCGAUAUACUGCAAGCGGCCAAGCGAAAGCGUUAAGUAUUCCACCUGGGGAGUACGCCGGCAACGGUGAAACUCAAAGGAAUUGACGGGGGCCCGCACAAGCGGAGGAACAUGUGGUUUAAUUCGAUGAUACGCGAGGAACCUUACCCGGGCUUAAAUUGCAGAUGAAUUACGGUGAAAGCCGUAAGCCGCAAGGCAUCUGUGAAGGUGCUGCAUGGUUGUCGUCAGCUCGUGCCGUGAGGUGUCGGCUUAAGUGCCAUAACGAGCGCAACCCUUGUUGUCAGUUACUAACAGGUUCCGCUGAGGACUCUGACAAGACUGCCAUCGUAAGAUGUGAGGAAGGUGGGGAUGACGUCAAAUCAGCACGGCCCUUACGUCCGGGGCUACACACGUGUUACAAUGGGGGGUACAGAGGGUCGCUACCACGCGAGUGGAUGCCAAUCCCCAAAACCUCUUUCAGUUCGGACUGGAGUCUGCAACCCGACUCCACGAAGCUGGAUUCGCUAGUAAUCGCGCAUCAGCCACGGCGCGGUGAAUACGUUCCCGGGCCUUGUACACACCGCCCGUCAAGCCAUGGGAGCCGGGGGUACA